ACUCCUGCGGGAGGCAGCAGUGGGGAAUUUUGGACAAUGGGCGAAAGCCUGAUCCAGCAAUGCCGCGUGAGUGAAGAAGGCCUUCGGGUUGUAAAGCUCUUUUGUCAGGGAAGAAACGGUGAAAGCUAAUAUCUUUUGCUAAUGACGGUACCUGAAGAAUAAGCACCGGCUAACUACGUGCCAGCAGCCGCGGUAAUACGUAGGGUGCAAGCGUUAAUCGGAAUUACUGGGCGUAAAGCGUGCGCAGGCGGUUUUGUAAGUCUGAUGUGAAAUCCCCGGGCUCAACCUGGGAAUUGCAUUGGAGACUGCAAGGCUAGAAUCUGGCAGAGGGGGGUAGAAUUCCACGUGUGGCAGUGAAAUGCGUAGAUAUGUGGAGGAACACCGAUGGCGAAGGCAGCCCCCUGGGUCAAGAUUGACGCUCAUGCACGAAAGCGUGGGGAGCAAACAGGAUUAGAAACCCCGGUAGUCCCA
rnacentral:rRNA from 1 species